UGCCAGCCGCCGCGGUAAUACGGAGGGGGCAAGCGUUGUUCGGAAUUACUGGGCGUAAAGGGCGCGUAGGCGGUCUGUUGCGUCAGGUGUGAAAGCCCUGGGCUCAACCUAGGAUGUGCACUUGAUACGGGCAGGCUAGAAUCCGGGAGAGGAUGGUGGAAUUCCCAGUGUAGAGGUGAAAUUCGUAGAUAUUGGGAAGAACACCGAUGGCGAAGGCAGCCAUCUGGACCGGUAUUGACGCUGAGGCGCGAAAGCGUGGGGAGCAAACAGGAUUAGAUA
rnacentral:rRNA from 1 species